rnacentral:lncRNA from 1 species
UCAAGUCUUUGGUGAUGAUUCACUCAGUCCUGGGAGAACACAAGAAAAUCACUACUCAGGGCUUCUCUGGAAACCAGCAUAGGGCCAGACACAAGACAAGGGCACGGGCGGCCCCCAGCAGUGUUUUCAGCAGGAAGGAGGGAGUGGACGAGUGGCUGCAUUGAGGAGUGGAUAUUUUGGAAGGGGAGAUUUCCUCUGGGACUUCUGAAUCUUUAAAACUCUAACGAGUUAGACGAAGGUGUACCUGGUCCUGUGGCCCCCGUCCCACCUUCCUGCUCAAGCUCUGAGACAUUUAGUCCUGGCUUGAUGGUUAUUGGCACAGAUGUUAAAAGGCCAUUAAUGGGGAACAUGGAAAGCUUUUUCUGAGCUAAAAGGCAUGCUGAGUUUUAGUUUAGAGUGGUUGCACGGGGGCCUCUUCAUCAUGAAUCUGGAAACCCUCUAUCAUUAAGGAUUAGUUCACAGAUUUCCUGAAAGUAAAAGAAAAAUGGAAAAGGAAAUAGGAAGACACCAGCCACCACCUUGCACAGACUCUGGGAUCUAAGACCACACAAUGAAAGGGAGAAAUCAGUGGCUGAAGGAGUCACUUCAUGACUGGGGAGUACAAAUGAUCUAGACCUGCACCGCCUGAUGCUGUAGUUACUACCCACAUGUGGCUAUUUAAGUUGAAAUUAAUUGAAAUUAAAUAAAAUAAAAAAUACAAUUCCUCAGUCACAGUGGUCAAGUGUCAAGUGCUUAAUAGCUGAAUGUAGCUAAUGGCAACUGUAUUAGACAGUGCAGAUUUCAUAAACCAUUUUAUAGGCCGUGUAUAUCAGCACAGAAAGUGCUACAAGACAGUGCUGAUGUGUCUCUUUACAUAAUCAGGUUUAAGCUGGCACUGUCUAGGGUAAUGGCUGAAAAUCAGGGUUUGUUCCUUCGGGACGACAGUUGGAGAAAUGGUCAACCCUUGGUUUCAUAAUAAUAAUGCCUUUGAAGGGAGUAAGCCAGAGAUAACUUCUUCACAAAAUUAAUGGUGUUUGUAUCUAGGUCUCCAAGCCCCAAUGAAGGAAUUUAAGAUUAAGAAACU